rnacentral:rRNA from 1 species
AUUGAACGCUGGCGGCAGGCCUAACACAUGCAAGUCGAACGAGUGGCGGACGGGUGAGUAAUGUCUGGGAAACUGCCUGCUGGAGGGGGAUAACUACUGGAAACGGUAGCUAAUACCGCAUACCAUCGGAUGUGCCCAGAUGGGCUUAGCUAGUAGGUGGGGUAAAGGCUCACCUAGGCGACGAUCCCUAGCUGGUCUGAGAGGAUGACCAGCCACAUGGGAACUGAGAUAAGGUCCAGACUCCUACGGGAGGCAGCGGGGGGGAUUAUUGCACAAGGGGCGCAAGCCGGAUGCAGCCAUGCCGCGUGUAUGAAGAAGGCCGUCGGGGUGUAAAGUACUGUCAGCGGGGAGGCGUUACCCGCAGAAGAAGCACCGGCUAACUCCGUGCCAGCAGCCGCGGUAAUUC